GGGGCCGACUUGGAUUCGACGUGCUUAGUGAAGUCGGUGCUGCGUGCCGAGGGCCCGUCACCUCGUAAAAAAGCGGGAACACCGAUAAGUGCCAACUCUCAGAUGGCGCUGGCUGCGUAAGUAAUCUUACGCGCCCGUCCUUGUCCGGACCGGGCCCGAGGUUCGGCAAAGGGCGUCGAUGAAUCGGGCUGGCCUGUGGACGACGCCGCGGCGUCCCCGGGCGAGACCCGAGCGGCUGGUCCGAGCGAGGCCGUCCGCUGGCCGACGUGAGGAUGAGACAACCGAACGGCGGACUACGCACGUAGAGGCGCUGAGGGAGCUAUUCACGGACGCGGGUUCGACUCCCGCCGGCUCCAUCA
rnacentral:tmRNA from 1 species